CAGCCGCCACGGUAAUACGUAGGUGGCAAGCGUUGUCCGGAAUUAUUGGGCGUAAAGGGCUCGCAGGCGGUUUCUUAAGUCUGAUGUGAAAGCCCCCGGCUCAACCGGGGAGGGUCAUUGGAAACUGGGAAACUUGAGUGCAGAAGAGGAGAGUGGAAUUCCACGUGUAGCGGUGAAAUGCGUAGAGAUGUGGAGGAACACCAGUGGCGAAGGCGACUCUCUGGUCUGUAACUGACGCUGAGGAGCGAAAGCGUGGGGAGCGAACAGGAUUAGAGACCCCUGUAGUCCCUGUCUCUUAUAA
rnacentral:rRNA from 1 species